GACGAACGCUGGCGGCGUGCCUAAUACAUGCAAGUCGAACGAGAGCGACCGGUGCUUGCACUGGUCAAUCUAGUGGCGAACGGGUGAGUAACACGUGGGUAACCUGCCCAUCAGAGGGGGAUAACAUUCGGAAACGGAUGCUAAAACCGCAUAGGUUCUACAGUCGCAUGACUGAAGAAGGAAAAGAGGCUUCGGCUUCUGCUGAUGGAUGGACCCGCGGUGCAUUAGCUAGUUGGUGAGGUAACGGCUCACCAAGGCCGUGAUGCAUAGCCGACCUGAGAGGGUGAUCGGCCACAUUGGGACUGAGACACGGCCCAAACUCCUACGGGAGGCAGCAGUAGGGAAUCUUCCGCAAUGGACGCAAGUCUGACGGAGCAACGCCGCGUGAGUGAAGAAGGAUUUCGGUUCGUAAAACUCUGUUGUUAGAGAAGAACAGCGCAUAGAGUAACUGUUAUGCGUGUGACGGUAUCUAACCAGAAAGCCACGGCUAACUACGUGCCAGCAGUCGCGGUAAUACGUAGGUGGCAAGCGUUGUCCGGAUUUAUUGGGCGUAAAGCGAGCGCAGGCGGUCAAUUAAGUCUGAUGUGAAAGCCCCCGGCUCAACCGGGGAGGGUCAUUGGAAACUGGUUGACUUGAGUGCAGAAGAGGAGAGUGGAAUUCCAUGUGUAGCGGUGAAAUGCGUAGAUAUAUGGAGGAACGCCGAUGGCGAAGGCAGGUCUCUGGGCAGUAACUGACGCUGAGGAGCGAAAGCAUGGGUAGCGAACAGGAUUAGAUACCCUGGUAGUCCAUGCCGUAAACGGUGGGCGCUAGGUGUGAGUCCCUUCCACGGGGUUCGUGCCGUAGCUAACGCAUUAAGCGCCCCGCCUGGGGAGUACGGCCGCAAGGCUAAAACUCAAAGGAAUUGACGGGGGCCCGCACAAGCGGCGGAGCAUGUGGAUUAAUUCGAUGCAACGCGAAGAACCUUACCUGGGCUUGACAUACACCAGACCGGGCCAGAGAUGGUCUUUCCCUUUGUGGUUGGUGUACAGGUGGUGCAUGGUUGUCGUCAGCUCGUGUCGUGAGAUGUUGGGUUAAGUCCCGCAACGAGCGCAACCCUUGUCUUAUGUUGCCAGCAAUUCGGUUGGGGACUCGUGAGAGACUGCCGGGGUUAACUCGGAGGAAGGUGGGGAUGACGUCAAAUCAUCAUGCCCCUUAUGUCCAGGGCUUCACACAUGCUACAAUGGUCGGUACAACGCGUCUGCGAGCCUGUGAGGGUGAGCUAAUCGCUGUAAAGCCGGUCGUAGUUCGGAUUGGGGUCUGCAACUCGACCCCAUGAAGUCGGAGUCGCUAGUAAUCGCAGAUCAGCAACGCUGCGGUGAAUACGUUCCCGGGCCU
rnacentral:rRNA from 1 species